CAUUCAGCAAGUUUAAAUCCAUUCUUGCAUAUUGUUUUGAAUCCUUGUAACUGAACUGAAAGUAUUGCUGGCUGAUAAAACUUGCUAAAAUGCACAAGUCACUGAUUACGCCAAUACAACAAAGAUAACCACAUGUUUGAGGAUUGCAAUGUGCCAGACAUUCACUGAAAAAAAAAACACACAACUAAACAAAACUCACGCAACAAACAUCUGAGAAUCUGGACACUUCACAUCAGUGUUUCGAAGUGUUUCAUUAAUAUCUUAAGACAAGUGUAUCAAAACCUUGGCAUGUUUAAUUUUAAGUUGCCAAUUUUUGUUUUACUAUCAGAAAGUUAUGGCUAUACUGCCAAUGCCGGGUCUGCUUAAUUUGACUUAAGAGUUUAAUAUGACUUAAACAUUAAAAGCUCACACUACCCCGAAAUAUAUAAUUUCACGCAUACGGUGACAUUCAACAUUCAAGUGCCAGUGUUUUUGUACUGUCUUUUGGUCAAGUUUCUUUAAACUUUCAAAGAAUCACUUUUAGGCUUACAAAAAUAAAUAUUUGUCAAAAAUGUUCAAUAAAUAUUACACAAAACUAGCAGCAAAAAGUAUCUAGAAAUCUGUCGUGUGCAAAUAGUUUUCUUCCCAGCUAUCAUUCCCAUGGUCCCAAAUAAGUUUUAGAAUCUAUUUCCUUCUCCUUAAACAAGCUGCGUUCAAUCUCCAAGAGACAAAAUAAGAUUGGAAGUUAAAGACACGCACACAAGACAUAUAUAAAAUUCUCUGAAUGUGCAAUAAAAGAAGUAUUUUGUAAAAAGUUAUGGGCAAAAUGUACAAGGGCCUAAACCUAGACUUGAAAUAGCACCAUAACAAAUGACCUCAAUACUGUCAAGUGCACCUACUUAAUAAAAGUUUUAGAACAAGGCACAAUACACUUGAAAAAAUCUAUUGCACUUUAGGAGAUUUUUGCCUCUUUCCUACGCCACUGUAGAUUAGAGUUGUUAACUGCUCUGGCCACAAAGUUAGCACAGAAAUUCCAAGUGGCUUAGGCGUUUUUCUGGUGGACAAUACUUAUCUUUGGCCAGAUUUAGCAUAAACAGACUAUAAAUACAAUGGAAACCUAUGCAACUAAAACUGACUAAAACUGCACUUUAAUAGCAGAAUUGAAACCUUGUGCAGUUUAUGUACAUUUCCAACCUCUGUGAUCUCAGGUUUGUUUGUUACUCUUCUGGAGCCAUUUUACAAAGUCUACAGUAAGCCAGUUUAACAUCUCCACGCAGCUUGAACAGAGUAAUGUGAAUCUGCAUUAAAAUAAAGCCUGCUGCAUAAUUCUUCCUGUUCAUACCCUCUUGACCAAAAAACAUCAACACUAGCAUGCGUUAUUAGACCAAAAAUUCAGUCAGGCCCUUAAGGAGGACCAAUCACUGCCAUGGUCAGCCAUUCUACCAUUUCAAUUUCAUAUGGCAGGCAUUUUUAAAAAGUCUAAAUAGAUGAAUUCUCCUAAAAACUAUUUCAAGUUAUCAGACCUUUAAACGUUCCCUGUAAUAUUCUGCCCACGUUUGGCUAGCUCACAUUAAUGAUCUGCCUAAAUAUUGAAAAAGGAAUUGCUGUAUUUACUUGCAUUAACUUCAAAAACAGUGCUUUUAAUGUAUGCAUGUAUCCAUACAUCAUCUCAUCAUGACUGGAAUGGCUUAUUAAAGGCUAUCAGGUUCUAAGUACCUAUCCAGGAUAGAGUGAGCAAAUCAGAACUUUAACUUAGUACAGUUUUGCCACAUUAGAAACUAAUUGCAUUGAUAUGCUUCAAGAUGUUUUUAUUUUUCAAAUCUGCAGAUACCAAAAGCCCUAAUGCAGGCUACCGCAUAAGUUUUUCUUUGUAAUAUUAUGGAUGAAUCAGUGAUUCCUGUUUAAGUUGUAUCACACCUGUGUGCCAAGGUUUGAUUUUAGCCCAAGUUCAGUAAUUUUUAUUUUGUCUAAACAAUUGAUAUCUUGAGCAUUACUGAGCCAACAGGACAUCAAAAUAAAAAGUUGUCUAAAGUUAAAGGCACAGUACAUUAACAAACAAAUGAUCCUCAGUCACAAAAUUAUAAAUGCAGUUUCUGGGUGGGGAUGGGUGGGAGGGGAGUUAAUCCUGACUACAGCAAUAGAGUCUUCAAAACCACCUUCGAGAUAGGGCUACUUGUUCCUUUGUUUCCAUCUUGUGACCUUGAGCUCCCUUAAAAAAAAUUUCAGUGGAGAAUCACAGCUGGUAAUGUACUGCGAGUUCUUGAAGCUACACAAGGUAUAGUCUGGCUAAGUUACAUGUGGUUUCCAUAUUAGCUUGUUUGGUAGGUUAUCUGCUGCAAGCAGAUUCAGUUGCCCCACCAGUCAACCCCCUGGGAGUUAUAGUUUCCUCCAUAUCCAUCACUGUUGUAGAAGCCUCCAUAACCACCACCUCCAAAUCCUCUGCUGCCACUUCCUCCGGUACGGCCGCUGGCUGGUCGACUGCUGCUGAAGCUGCUGCUGCCAGCACCACUACUUGUUCGGUAGUCUCUGGCACCAAAUCCUCCAGUGAACCUACUCUUAGAUCGCCCACGGCUGCCACCUCCUUUGUGAUGCUGUUCGUAAGCCAUGUUUUCCAGCCAAGAUGGAACUUCUUGCUUAGCCUCAACAAGAAGAUCAAGUAAAUCCUUGGUGAUGUUUAUAUUUCUCUCAUUGAAGAAUGAGGUGGCAAGACCAAGGUUUCCUACACGGCCUGUACGACCAAUACGGUGCACGUAUUCUUCAAUGUCACUCGGCAAGUCAAAGUUUAUGACAUGCUUUACGUUUGAUAUAUCCAGUCCUCUUGCUGCUACUGCCGUGGCUACAAGAAUUGGGCUCUUGCCCGAACGGAACUGAUGGAGUGCUUCCUCUCUGUCUCUUUGAGAACGAUCUCCAUGUAUACUUGUACAGGCAUAUCCUUCAUGGUAGAGAAAGUCCUCUAGAGCAUCUGCUCCCUUUUUAGUUUCCACAAACACGAGAGUCAAGGAAUCCUUGCCUGUGGCAUUUAGCAGGUCGAGCAGAAAUGAUCGUUUGUCCAACUCUUCCACCCAGACUACUUUCUGUGUGAUAUUCUCAGAUGUAGAACCUACUCUGCCAACAGCCAGGAAGAUAUAUUCAUCAAGGAAGUCACGAGCAAGCAUCUGGAUUUCCUUGGGGAAAGUAGCACUGAACAUCAUGGUAUGACGAACCCCCUUUGGCGGCAUUGUAUCUUGUUCAACAAUUCGUCUAAUCUGAGGUUCGAAACCCAUGUCAAGCAUUCUAUCAGCUUCAUCAAGCACUAGGUAUUUGCAAAAAUCCAGUCCAAUCUUUCCCCUCUCCAUCAUAUCAACCAGUCGACCUGGAGUUGCUACAAGCAAGUGACAUCCACGUUCCAAGUCACGGAUCUGCUGCCCAAUGUCUGCACCACCAUACACAACACAGGGACGAACUCUGGAACGGUAUGCAAACUUCCUGGCCUCCUCAUAGAUCUGCACAGCGAGUUCUCUAGUUGGAGCCAAGACCAGUGAGAUUGGAUAUUGCUUACGGCGUCCAUACCUUCCAUUCUCCUUCAUAGCUCUCAAGGCAUCACCAGGUCCAUCUGCAUAGAUCUGGCUCAAUAUUGGUAGAAGAAAUGCAGCAGUUUUCCCAGACCCUGUCUGAGCACAGGCCAUCAAGUCUCUUUUCUCUUUAAUAAUAGGUAUUGCAUGUUUCUGGACCGGAGUAGGACGAGUGUAACGUGUGAGCUCAAUGUUUCCCAUAAUAAUUUCUCCCAUAUCAACAUCACUGAAACUUUCAAUAUGUGGAGGACAAUUGCUGCCUGUUGCUUCAACAGGAAUAUCAUCAUAUUUCUCAAAGUUAAUGCCAGUAUUGCUUCCUGAAAAAAGCUCUUGUUCCAGGCGUUCACUUGGGGGAAGAGGCUUUGACCAGUCAUCUUCAUCAGACUUGUCACACCAACGGCUAUUUCCACCACGGUCAAAUCUACCAAAGCCACUCCUAUCAUAGUCGCUACCUCUUCCACGCUCUUCAUACCUUCCUCCUCUUGAUCCAUUUCCACGGUCAAAGAAGCUUGAUUUUGCUCCACGGUCAGACCGUGCACCAAAGCUGCUGUAUGCAUCCUUGUCUCUGCUAGUACUCCAGCCACCACUAUCAAAACCCUGUUUGGAAGCUUCCCUGUUCCUUAAGUGAGGAGGAAUGUAUCUGCCUUUGCUUGUAGCGCUUCCUUCACUCUGGGAGUCUGAGGAAUUCAAGUCUAGACCAGAAAACUGCUGGUCUAGACUGAGCGCAUUUUCCACCGCCACAUGACUCAUAACGAGAGAUCGUCUCGGGGUGUCCCGCUCCGACUCAAGAAAUUCAGAUUCGCCGGGUCGGGAACUCGCCGCCGCUGCCGCUCGUUCACCACGGAUCGC
rnacentral:lncRNA from 1 species